rnacentral:rRNA from 1 species
GAACGAACGCUGGCGGCGCGUUUUAGCAUGCAAGUCGAGCGGUAAGCAUCUUCGGGAUGCCUAGAGCGGCGAACGGGUGAGUAACACGUAGGUAAUCUGCCGUGCGAUUGGGGAUAGCCUGUGGAAACACAGGGUAAUACCGAAUACGACCUUCGGGGGAAAGGCGCUUCGGCGCCGUCGUACGAUGAGCCUGCGGCGCAUUAGUUAGUUGGCGGGGUAAUGGCCCACCAAGGCGACGAUGCGUAGCCGACCUGAGAGGGUGAUCGGCCACACUGGGACUGAGAUACGGCCCAGACUCCUACGGGAGGCAGCAGCUAAGAAUCUUCCGCAAUGGACGAAAGUCUGACGGAGCGACGCCGCGUGGGCGAGGAAGGCCGAAAGGUUGUAAAGCCCUUUUCUGCGUGAGGAAUAAGAAUCGGAGGCAAUGCCGGUUUGAUGACGGUAGCGCAGGAAUAAGCCCCGACCAAUUACGUGCCAGCAGCCGCGGUAACACGUAUGGGGCGAGCGUUGUUCGGAAUUAUUGGGCGUAAAGGGCGCGCAGGCGGUCAUGCAAGCUUGGUGUGAAAGACCACGGCUUAACGGUGGAAACGCGCUGAGAACUGCAUGACUUGAGUUUCGGAGAGGGAACUGGAAUUCCAGGUGUAGGGGUGAAAUCUGUAGAUAUCUGGAAGAACAUCAGUGGCGAAGGCGAGUUCCUGGCCGACAACUGACGCUGAGGCGCGAAAGCGUGGGGAGCGAACAGGAUUAGAUACCCUGGCUAGUCCACACCGUAAACGAUGUGCACUAGGUGUUGGGCUUUCGAAGGCUCAGUGGCCGCCAAAGUUAAACACCGUUAAGGUGCACCGCCCUGGGGAAGUAUGCCCGCCAAGGGUGAAACUUCCAAGGAAUUGACGGGGGCCCCGCACAAGCGGUGGAGCAUG